AUUGAACGCUGGCGGCAGGCCUAACACAUGCAAGUCGAGCGAGCGGCGGACGGGUGAGUAAUGUAUGGGGACUGCCCGAUAGAGGGGGAUAACUACUGGAAACGGUGGCUAAUACCGCAUACUAUCGGAUAACCCUUAUGGGAUUAGCUAGUAGGUGGGGUAAAGUCUCACCUAGGCGACGAUCUAUAGCCGGUCUGAGAGGGUGAUCACCCACACGGGUACUGAGACACGGCCCAUACUCCUACGGAGGCAGCUGUGGGGAAUCUUCCACAAUGUGCGCCAGCCCGCUGCAGCCCUGCCGCGUGUAUGACGCAGGCCUUAGGGUUGUAAAGUACUUUCAGUGGGGAAGCGUUUCCCGCAGAAGAAGCACCGGCUAACUCCGGGCCAGCCGCCGCGGUAAUAC
rnacentral:rRNA from 1 species